CACCCGCCCGGGCUGCGGAGGUCUCAACAGUUACCAGCGAAACUGCACUGGACAGCAGCCUUCCUAAAGGAAACUUUCCCACCUCUAUAAUGAAGAAAAGCAGGAGUGUGAUGGCCGUGACUGCAGAUGAUAAUGUUAAAGAUUAUUUUGAAUGUAGCCUGAGUAAAUCCUACAGUUCUUCCAGUAACACACUUGGGAUCGACCUGUGGCGAGGGAGGAGGUGUUGCUCGGGGAACUUGCAGCUACCACCGCUGUCUCAGCGACAGAGUGACAGGGCGCGGACCCCCGAGGGAGACGGCCUCCCCAGGCCCACCACGCUGCCUCUGAACACACUUCCCAGCAUCGCCAUCACCACUGCGAGCCAGGAAGGGUGAGUGGCCUCAUUGUCGAAGGCCGGUUCUCAAUUUUAUUUUCCAGUUCCUCCAAA
rnacentral:lncRNA from 1 species